UACGUAGGUGACAAGCGUUGUCCGGAUUUACUGGGCGUAAAGAGCGCGCAGGCGGUCGUUCAAGUCGAGUGUGAAAGCCCCCGGCUCAACUGGGGAGGGUCACGCGAUACUGAUCGACUCGAAGGCAGGAGAGGGUAGUGGAAUUCCCGGUGUAGUGGUGAAAUGCGUAGAUAUCGGGAGGAACACCAGUGGCGAAGGCGACUACCUGGCCUGUUCUUGACGCUGAGACGCGAAAGCGUGGGGAGCAAACAGG
rnacentral:rRNA from 1 species